rnacentral:rRNA from 1 species
CGUGUAGGCGGCUCAUCAAGUCUGGUGUGAAAACGCAAGGCUUAACCUUGUGGGUGCGCUGGAAACUGGUGGGCUGGAGUUCUUGAGGGGAAGCUGGAAUUCCAGGUGUAGGGGUGAAAUCUGUAGAUAUCUGGAAGAACACCGGUGGCGAAGGCGAGCUUCUAUCAGAGGACUGACGCUGAGGCGCGAAAGCGUGGGGAGCAAACAGGAUUAGAUACCCUGGUAGUCCACGCUGUAAACGAUGUGCACUAGGCGUGGGGCACGUACGUGCUCUGUGCCGUAGUUAACGUGCUAAGUGCACCGCCUGGGGGGUAAUGACUCGCAAGGGUGAA